rnacentral:rRNA from 1 species
UUCUACAGCCAUUCCACCUGGGGAUGUGCCCAAUCUUGUCUGAUCUAGGAAGUUGAGCAGGGUCAGGCCUAGGUAAUCUUUGGAUGCAGAGAAGGAGAAUAACAGGUGCAGAGGCAA